GUGCUGCCCACCCCCAGCAGUGCUGACCAUCAGUGCUGACCCCCAGCAGUGCUGGCCCCACAGUGCUGCCCACCGCAGCAGUGCUGCCCACCCCAGCAGUGCUGGCAGUGAGGACACAGCUCCCUCCUUGCUGCUGGACAUCGGCCGCAGCGGUGUCACCUCCCAGCCAGCAGGGAUGGCCACAGCUCCCGUUCCACUUCAGGCUCCCUGCGCCUCCCAUUCCACCCCCAAAGCUGGGCCAGGGGUUUGGUGGAGCAAAGCUGAGCACCUGCAGGGGAGCUGGGGGUCAUCAAAGCCAGCCCUGGAGGGUCCCCAUGGUGGCCAGAUCCCUGAGCUCAGCCUGCUGCAGGUGGUGGGGGUGGGGGGGGAAUUCUGCUUUUCAUCUUUUCUUUUCCUCAUCCUUUUGUUUGCGUCCAGAUGGGAAGAUACCAAAAGAUUUCUAGAGACAGAAGGUCCGUAGUUCAGGUGAACAGAUGGUAUUCAUGCCAAAAAAAAAAAAACAAAACAAAACACAAAAACACACACAAAAAAAAUGAAUAAUAACGAGAACAACACAACCAAA